rnacentral:rRNA from 1 species
AUGUCAGUUAAUAAGUCUAAUUCUAUUAUGCAUUUUACCAAUGAAGAGAUUGUUCAUAAUGCAAACCAAAUAGGAGUGUCUCUUGGUAACGAUGAUCUAGAGAUCUCUAAAUCGGUUAAUGAGAUGCUAGACUUGGAAGCUGAACGUGCGUUAGAAUUGAUUCGUAACAUAGCUGCAGUAAAACCGAUGAAUGAGUCGGAGAUUGACAAGCUAGGGGUUAGGGUUCUUGAUAGCUUGUGUGCUGAUCUUGAUCCUGCGGUCCAGGUGACGGAGGAGGAGGAUGAGUAUACCUCUCCGGUAACCACAAACCUAGAGGUGGUGCAUGUGGCCGUAGAGCCUCUUUCCGAGUGUGUUGAAUCUAUUGAUGGUGGGGUUAAGCCUAAGAGGACCUGGAAACGUAAGGUUUAUCCGGUGUCGGCUGUGCGUAGAAGUGCUAGGAUCCGUACCUCCAAAAAAUUUCAUGAUGAAUUAUGA